rnacentral:lncRNA from 1 species
UGGACUCAGGGCUGAGAGCUGGCACAGGGCAUUCUCUCUCUCCUGUCUCAGUAAAUUAGGGUGUGUGACUGUGUUUUGUGCUGUUACAUGUGGCUAGUAUCUCCUGCUGGCUAUCUGCAGGCAAUUCCUGGCAGAGUGGGAUUUCUGAGCAGCCCUUUGGAAGUGCCUUAAAGCCUCCAAAUCUGUGGAGUCCUGUUCCUGAUGGGAUUUUAGAUUCGGUGGUGGUGACAGUGCAUUAUAUUUAGUUUCCAGUUCUGGAGUCAUGACAACUUUGCUGAAUAACACCAAGAGAAUGCAGCUGAAGUCUGGAGGAGAAUGUAUUUCACUAUUGACCCAUCUGUUACAUCAGACAGGCAUUAAGGAUAUGAUCCCACAUUUUUUUGAUAUACAUUCAUGA